CCUGUCUGAACAUGGGGGGACCAUCCUCCAAGGCUAAAUACUCCUGACUGACCGAUAGUGAACCAGUACCGUGAGGGAAAGGCGAAAAGAACCCCUGUGAGGGGAGUGAAAUAGAACCUGAAACCGUGUACGUACAAGCAGUAGGAGCCCCAUCACUAAGCUAUUGUGGUUUAGUGACAACAAGUACUUYAGUUUGAUAGUGGUUARCAACGCGAAGCGUUGAUCAACACACAAAAUCAAGCAGAGGUGGCUUAGUGAUGGGGUGACUGCGUACCUUUUGUAUAAUGGGUCAGCGACUUAAUUUUAGUAGCAAGGUUAACCGUAUAGGGGAGCCGUAGGGAAACCGAGUCUUAACUGGGCGUACAGUUGCUAGGAUUAGACCCGAAACCAGGUGAUCUAGCCAUGGGCAG
rnacentral:rRNA from 1 species